ensembl:lincRNA Gm26936 predicted gene, 26936
GAAGCUGAGAACAGAGUAAGCCACCAGACCUAUAUGGUCCACACAUGGAGAUGCUGCCUCAAAAAUCGCCGUCUUUAGAAGUACAACCUGGGAUAUGAAUUUUGUACUUAUCUUCCCAUCAAGAAUCAGGAUGGCUUCCUCUCCAACAGCCCAUAAGGACUGCUCACUUGGACCCUCCUACACUUUGCUAGCUUAUGAUUAAUUUUAGCAGCCCAGAAGUUGCCAACUUUCAUAAACACACCUUUUCAAUUACAAGAGUCCUUGUUAAAGACUCCAAGAUGUGAGCAAGUAUGAAUUCUUACUCUAGGAUCAACAUCUCUACUAAGCUCGGGAUUCUUUUGCCUUCUUAAUCACGCGCUUCAACAAAUAAAAUAUCUUACCG